AGAUCAACUCAGCCUGAUUUGGUCAGGCGUCGUGGUGCAUGCCUGAAAUCCCAGAAGCUUGGGAGGCUGAGGCAGGAUCGUGCUUGAGAGAUCAGGGCCAGAGACCUGGAUGUCAGGCUACCCUGUGGAAGUGUGGUCAUUCGCAUGGAUUUAGGAGAAUGUACCAAAAUCCACAACUUGGCCCUUCGAGCAGAUUAUGAAAUUGCAAGUAAAGAAAGAGACCUGUUUUUUUUAAUUAGAUAGUUUCCUUAGCCAUGGGAUCUCCAACUGCAUGCCAGAGUAACGGAGAGACUUUGACAGCCCAGGUCAUCAUAGCAGUUGCCACUCAGCUCUCCUAUAUGUUUUUCCACUGGAGUUAGGAGCCGUCUGUCCUUCUGCUGUCCUGUGGUAUUCACAACAAACUUUCCUUCUGCAGUGUACACUUGCGCGGUUCUUGGAAGAGUCUGAGGAGACAGCCUGUCAGCCUCUGCUCAUUAAGCUAAGGACCAUGUGACCAGUGUGGCGGCCAUUAUGUGAUUUGGUCUGCAUUAUUUGUUGGAAAAAUGCCACAAGAAGAUCACACUGGGAUUUGAAGUUUCUGGCUAAUACUUAGCCGGGUAGCCUUUUGUGGCCUGCAGAUCUUUAAGGCCAGAUUGAUCUACAAAGAGAAACAGCAUUUUUGGAAAAGUGAAAUACCUUUGUAACCUAACAUGCAAUUGGUUCAAUAAAGACUUUUGAAAUUUAAAAAAAAAAA